ACUAUUCAAAAAAAAAAAACUAAAAAUAUUUCGUUGUUGCUGAACUGAAGAUAAAAUACCUGAGAAGCUAUUAAUAUGUAUUUUUAUGAGAAGCACGGUCGUCUGGGUUCUGACACCGGGUAGUUCUGUAGUUAUAACCCAAAAGUCCAAAGGGGGCAAAGAAAAAUGCAUUAAAAUAAAAUUAUUGGAGUGUGGGCUCCUGUAUUUGUUCCAACGGCUAUUGUUGUUGAAAACGAUUGUUAAUGGUUUCUUAAAAGGCACUUGAAAUAAAGGGUAAAGUUGUACCUGCCUUUAACUAAUUGAGCACCAAGCUAUUAAGACAUGAAGGAGAGGUAUAUCUCCACCUUUCUUGACCUCACUACUAGAUGGUGAGUGGUCAGCUUCAUGCAUCGGCUGUUUUAACCCUGAAACUUGUUGGAUAGAAGGCUGGGUGGGCCCCAGAGGCGGCCUGAACGUUGUGGAUUAGAAAGAAGCCACUUGCCCCUACUGGGAAUCAAAGCUCAAUGGACCGUUGAGCCUGCAGCCCAUCUCUGUACCCACUUAGCUAUCCCAGCUCUCAGGCGUUGGAAGUAGCUUCCUGGAAAUGAAUCACUCUGAAAGUAAACAAACAGCAUCUACCUGAGUCUAUCCCAAUUUCUGGCCCCAUCUCAUGAUGUACUACUGUUGUAGUGAAGGCAGAAUUAGCAAUCGUGCAAAGUGUAGUUCCCUGACUGUGAGACAAAUAUGUCACUUUACUUCUGGCCCAAUACUCCAAUGCUUAUACUGCUCUUGGCCGUGGCUGGAUCUCAUCUGUCUUCGGUGACGGCUAUCCCGAUACUGUCUCCAAGUCCAAGUCACAUUGCGACUGACGGCUAUGUGUGAGAAUAGUAUGAAGGUUUAUCCUAUGCGACUUCAGCCAGGAACUGAAAUUAAAUCAAGUCUAGUUGAGUUUGUAACAUCCAGACAGCUGAAUGCUGCCUUUGUUCUCACUUGUUGUGGCAGUGUAAUAAAAGCAACACUUCGUUUUGCUACGUGUCCUGAUCAGACACAUCAGAUACAUACACUGAACAAAUGUUUUGAAAUUACUUCACUGGUUGGAACAAUCUGCAAAGAUGGUGCUCAUCUCCAUAUAACACUGGGUGACAGUGAUGGAAACACAGUGGCAGGACAUGUUGUGGGGGAUCUUAUUGUUCAGACAACAGCAGAAAUAGUUUUAGGAGAAGUCUGUGAUGUGCAGUUCAAGAGAGAGUUUGAUAAAGCAACGGGUUUUCCAGAAUUAGUCAUCUCCAAACACGAAAUGAUGAAAUAGUUACAGAACUGAAUGCUACAAUGUACUUUUAACUGUUUCACUGUCAAGUUUCAGUACAUUUAUUGUCUUGAUGUAUGCCAUAUAAACCCUGAAUAUAUAAGUUUUAAAUAUA